UAUAAGAUCUCCAAUAGGUACAUGUUUAUUAUGAUCACUCUGAAGCUAUUUUGUGUAGUCUUCAAAGGAUUUCAAGAAAGUUUUUGCUUCAUGUCAGGGAUAAAUAAUUUUAGCAGAUACUAAUAUUUUCCAAUAAUUAUUACUGCAAUAUGAUACAAAGCAAGGAAAUGAUACAUAUGUUUGCCCUCAAAAAAUGAGACAUAGGUUCAUCCUUCAUACAACGGUAAAUUGAAGGCUGCAGAGCGAGGCAGCAAAACCUGUAAGAUGCAGCAGUCAUGUGAAGCCCGAUAGAACUGCCACCGCAAGAUCAAUCAACCAUCAUUGAGAGAGAACAAUCCUUGACCAGCAUUUAACAUCUGUCAACGAAUCCAACUCCGCUUCUACUGAUGAUAACCAAAGAACCUUACUCACAAAAGGAAACUGAUUAGACUGUUUAUAGCAGAAUAUUUUGAUCCCGGUGACCCAAAUUCAGAGCUAUGCCAUUAUUUUUGUGCAAAACCCGUUAACACAACAACAUAAAACCAAAAGUGAGAAACUCCUAUGCCAAACCGUUACAUCCUAAACUACAAUAUGUCAGCAUAUAACGUAUUCAUUUGGAUUCGAUGGCUUGUACAUGCCUGGUAUUUACUUAGAUUACGCGGUACACUUCUAGAAAGCAAUAUUUCCUAGAAGCAACAAAUGACUCAAACCUUUCACCUGCAGACCAGGAACACACGUACAUGAGUCUGCUCAAACACAUCUGCACAUGUUGGUAUUCAACCAAGUAAUUAAGUAAAAUAAUUUUGUUCUUCGAAAAAAGUAAGAUAAGCUUGCUCGUCUAUGUUAAAUAGUUAACAGGAUCAAACCUGUCCUAGAACGACCAAAUUUCAACAAAACGAAAACCUUAAAGACACACGUGCAUAUUAUAGAGAAGACUAACUAAUAGCACGUGGACAGGUUAUCUGUAAGUUAGAUAGGUUAUCUAUGCUGGUAGUUCAUAGGGUCAUACCGAGGUCGAUGAAGAGCCUGGUGACCGACAGCUAGAGUAUUGGGCAUGACUAUGGAGAUGAAUAGGUGAGAGGCAUCCCCAGCCCCUGGAGAAUCACUGGCCCAUGCUGUCCGCUGACACAACGGUCCCUGGAUCACUGUAGAAACUGUAUUGCGGAACUGAACGUGAGGAGUUCUCCACAUGAACCAACUGAUCACCUUCUUAUCCACUGGAUGUUCCAUCGUGUAUUGGUUUGCUGUGAUCUGGCAUGUAAG
rnacentral:lncRNA from 1 species